GUUGUCGUGGCCGAGUGGUUAACGUGAUGGAUUUAAAAUCUUUUGGGAUCUUCCCGCGCAGGUUCGAAUCCUGCCGACAUCG
rnacentral:tRNA from 1 species